UACGGGGGGGGGCAAGCGUUGUUCGGAAUUACUGGGCGUAAAGGGCUCGUAGGCGGCCAACUAAGUCAGACGUGAAAUCCCCAGGCCUCAACCUGGGAACUGCGUCUGAUACUGGAUGGCUUGAAUCCGGGAGAGGGAUGCAGAAUUCCAGGUGUAGCGGUGAAAUGCGUAGAUAUCUGGAGGAAUACCGGUGGCGAAGGCGGCAUCCUGGACCGGCAUUGACGCUGAGGAGCGAAAGCCAGGGGAGCAAACGGG
rnacentral:rRNA from 1 species